CCUUUUCUGUGGCUCUCAGAAAUCCACUGCUACUGCUUGAACGAGGACGCGGCAUACGGAAAAAAGAGACCGGAAAUACCUCGAAAUGUACGUUACUUCGUUUGACGCGAAAGAAUUUACCCUGGGAGCAUACGAAGCACCAAUAUGGGUCCCGGUCUCCGGCGGUCGGAUGUUGAUGUGAGUCCCCCCAACGUCAGCACGGUGAUGUGCGACGCGAGUGAGCCUUUCUACUUUUUGGCGGAGACCCUUUUUCGCCAGCAAGUGACUCGGUGUCUCCGUGAAGCAUCGAAGUGUAGCUACAGCCCUCUUCGGCGAGCUGAACGGGCUGCCGAGCUUUCGAAGGCCGAUCUCCCGCAGCGCUGACACCCGGAGAACCGCGCCAUGGCGCUCGCUAAGGUGAGUUACGUCGUCUCUGUACACUUCGCAUCAUUCACAAACAGUUCAGUUGCACGUGAAAGGAGUAUAGCAAAGUAAAACGGAAUGUUACGGAAAAGCAGCGGAUUAGGCGAUCGGUGUGGUACGACCGAGCCGAGUGCGCAGUCGUCUGUUUUUAUUCUUUCCCCCCAGCGACAGAUGGGAGGCAAUCUCUUGAUCGAAUGACGUUUUAGCGAACGCCCAGGUUUCAUCGAAUGACAGUUUAGCGAAAAGUCGGACGCCGCGAAGCGGCGUUUUCGGGUGGGCCAAAUGAGUUCACAUUUUUGUUAUGAUCCGCCGCAGACUAUCGCCGCGAAGCGGCGAAAGCGCAGCGCGGCGGAUGGAUUAACGCGCGCCCCUGUUAUUCGCUAAAACGUCCAUUCGCUCAAAUGUCGCUGUUCGCUAAAAUGUCAUUCGCUCAUGUGACAUGGACCCGUGUUCCAUCAGUCGCGCGCCGCUAAUUUGUUUCACCAUAAAGCGCCAGUGAGGCAAACGCUGCGGGGACGAGUAGCAUGUUUUCGUACCUGCCUACUGGUUUUCUUAGGUCCGUUAAUCUGCAAGUGCUUGUGUUCCCCCUACCCCAUCAUUCCAACAGAAUCCACCGGCUGCCGGGCUCGGAGGACAUGUUGCAGGCCCCGUGUAAUGCCUUCGGCGCCUGUGCGACUUCCAGGGGGUCUGCGUUUCACGGCCCCGUUACCAGCUGGGAAGUUCUCCAUAGAGGGGACGACAUCCUGUCCAGCACCAGCUUCACCGUCUGGGACCAAGUGCAUGAGGGGGUCGCACUGCAAGCACAUGAAAGGAGGGCACUGCGACUUUGAGGUCAAGCUUGUACAUCUACCAUUACAGAGUCCUAAAUGGAUGCCAAUUGCUACUGAUGACCUUAUGAAGGUGAAACGUCCCUGGAUCUAAAGGGAAAAUCUGAUUGAAGGCGAGCUGGCUUGCUCUUUAUGUUUAUACAGCCUUGAUGGAGAUGCGCCGAAGGCGAGCUGAAGUUGUUUCUGACUUUAUUCUCUUACGACUUGAAAGUAAUCUGCCUACUUCAUGAACUUUGAAGAUGCAAAAUUUGUUUCCGUAACUGUCCCACUUCAACGUAAUGUGCACAUUGAAACCUAUUCCUUUUCUUUUUCUGUUUUUUGGCGAUAAAAAAAAGCCAACGAAUCUCCCUCUUCCUUUUCGCAAUGGGGAGGUGUGGAAGAUUGAUUGGAUAUUUUAUAUACGCAACCAGUUUCAUAAGUGAAUGAAGAUAAAAGCAGAAUACAUGUUCACAGAUUAUUUGUGAAUCCUUAGACUUGGUGAAGUGAGUAGUUUAUGUUCGAGUCAUGUAAUUAUAAAGUCAAAACCAGCUUUAGUGCAUUUUUAAGAAGCCUUUUAGACCUGAGAGUUCUGCUUUGACUCGGCAAUACACAACUCACCUUUGUUAUUCCUAUAGCACAGCCGAAACUAUAAACACGAGCAUGUUGCCUGACCAAUGCUUGAACUGCCGUGAAAUCGACGAAGUCCCUAUCCUUCGAGAACAAGUGCCAACGGGGAUAGUCGAAAGACCAGGGUAUUUAUUGCACACGCAUACUUGAUUUCAAGCUUGUAGAUUGAAGUAAUUGUUUAUUGAAUCCAUUCUUAAACCUGUUUGAGAUUGUAUUGGUUCAUAUUCACAGUAUAUUUAUUUUUCAUUUCAGCAAGGAAUAAUUUAGAGACAGAUGUUGGUGUUCAGGCGUGAUGCUUUUAUUUUCGUAACAUGCAAGAGUGCAAAAAAUUAGACUUGGCUUUGUAAGCUGAUUUUUUUAUGUAUUCUUCCAAACAGCAUAGCAAGCAAUAAAAUAAGGGCUACAGCUGCAAAAGUGGCUACACCUGGCAUCUCAUUUGUUUUAUAGCGUGUACAGGUGAGACACUAUACUCCGUUUCACGGUCACUUGGCAAACAUUGCGACCCAAUAAGAGCAUCGGAGCCAGGCACAUGACAACACUCCACGGUCGAGUCCUCGUUAUCGCCACAGCAAGAGCGUCAUUUGCAACAAAACAUAGUUCUAGGUUUUUUUUUUUUUUUCUCUUCUUCUUUUAGUAGUGUUGCUGUCGGAUUCUUCGGACCGCAACACUGCACGACACUGAAGAAAGACUAAGACAUAUGUUACUUAUUAACGACACUUAAUAUAGAUCAACACUUUUGAGAAAAACAUGGCUUGUGAUCGACGUUCAAACAAUCGUAGCCGUGAAUCGACCACUUCCGCUCAAAACAUCGCCCUAGCAUUAGCACCCGCCACAGAUUCAUGGGCAAAUUGAGCAUGUGGUUGCCUCAUAAAAGUGUUACUGAAAACCUCGCUACUCUAGCGGACGGCAAUGUUGCUGCAGUGGACGUCCAUCCGAAUUCGUUGGGUUUCUGAGCAUACGACAGCCGGUUCUGGUGGGUGGUCCUUGCAUUUGGCGCGGUGACACGGGCGCUCCUGUGACAUGCUGCCAUGUGCCUCGCUCCGACGUUCUUACUGGGUCGCAGGAGCCUCCACAGUUCACCAAGCUAUCGUGAAACAGAGUGUAGACUAAGUUGUCUGCUAAUGAAAGUAGCGUUGCCAGCAUCAUGUAUUAUGUAUGAAACAGUGUAUACUUCGAGAAAACAAAUAAAGCCAUUCAUCCUUUCCA